rnacentral:rRNA from 1 species
CCUACGGGUGGCAGCAGUGGGGAAUAUUGGACAAUGGGGGCAACCCUGAUCCAGCCAUGCCGCGUGUGUGAAGAAGGCCCUCGGGUUGUAAAGCACUUUCAGUGAGGAAGAACGCCUGGUGGUUAAUACCCAUCAGGAAAGACAUCACUCACAGAAGAAGCACCGGCUAACUCCGUGCCAGCAGCCGCGGUAAUACGGAGGGUGCGGAGCGUUAAUCGGAAUUACUGGGCGUAAAGCGCGCGUAGGUGGCUUGAUAAGCCGGUUGUGAAAGCCCCGGGCUCAACCUGGGAACGGCAUCCGGGACGGGCAAGCUAGAGGGGGAGAGAGGGGGAGAGCAGCCACGGUGGGGGCGGGCAAUGCGGAGAGAGCGGGAGGAAGAGGCGUGGCGGCGGGGGCAGCAAGGAUUGAGAGUGACACGGGGGUGAGUGUGUGUGGCUAGCUAUCCGGAGUAGAUAGCCUAGUGGUG